UACGAAGGGGGCUAGCGUUGUCCGGAAUUAUUGGGCGUAAAGCGCGUGUAGGCGGCUUUGCAAGUCGGGUGUGAAAGCCCUCGGCUCAACCGAGGAAGUGCGCCCGAAACUGCAGAGCUUGAGUACCGGAGAGGAUGGCGGAAUUCCCCAAGUAGAGGUGAAAUUCGUAGAUAUGGGGAGGAACACCGGUGGCGAAGGCGGCCAUCUGGACGGAUACUGACGCUGAGACGCGAAAGCGUGGGGAGCAAACAGG
rnacentral:rRNA from 1 species